rnacentral:lncRNA from 1 species
CAAAUUCAAUACAACAUAUACUUUUUCAGCCACUUUCAGCCCAAGAAUGCAUUUCAAGUAAACAACGGAUAAUAUUGUGAGUAUAUGUACAUAACUACCAGCAUUCGAGUAACAUGUGCAACAGUACAUCAAAAUUCUCAACAAAUUUAGCAUUACAAGUCAAUAACAUAUAAAGCAAGUUGCUAACUGGGGCUUUAAGCUUUCUCCGAAUUUCUUCGGGUAGAAUUCCUGUAAAUGAGAGGAACAUACACAUGUUUAGAGUCUCAACAUAGGCAAUAUUUGUUAGCAAUAAAAUAGAAAAAUUAAUUCAAGAACCAUGCAAGAGCCUAGGUUUUACUAUCAUUUUGACACCAUAGAGUAACAUCCAAGAAUACCACGAGUUGAUGCAUUAUUCUAGCAUAACCAAAUUAGAAACAUCCCUUGCUGUUCUAUUUUAACCUUACUACUACCUCCGUUCCUAAAUAUAUGAGAUCUUGGUUCAUUUCAGUAAUUUAGAAAGAGGGGUGAUGGGGCAUAGAACCUUGAGCCAUUGUUGUGGGGUUGUGGCUGAUGAAGGUUACCUUUUGGGGCCCCAAAUUAGAAACAUCCCUUGUUGUUCUAUUUUAACCUUACUACUACCUCCGUUCCUAAAUAUAUGAGAUCUUGGUUCAUUUCAGUAAUUUAGAAAGAGGGGUGAUGGGGCAUAGAACCUUGAGCCAUUGUUGUGGGGUUGUGGCUGAUGAAGGUUACCUUUUGGGGCCCCAAAGGCAGCUCCGCCAGAUGCAACAGCAACACCUCCAACAACCACAACAACAGCAGCAGCACCACCAAUAAUGACCUGCGUGGCAUUUCAGGUCAUCAUUACAGAAGAAAAUAAUUAAGAAACAAGCAACCAAUAUAGCUUCAGCAUUACAUGUACAGAUUUUAGCUUUUUCUACCUAAGUACAAAUAGCAAAAUGGAACAUAGGCAGGUUUAUUAUAUUUGACAGAGCUACUUGGACAAGAAAGAGAACAUAGCGCCGCGACUUGUUGAGGACAGAAAUAAUAAUGUUUGAUUCAUAAAUUACAAAUUAGUAAUAUGGGGAUUAAGAGCAUGCCCACAGAAAGCUAAUUGGCAAACAAAACUUAUUGGUCAGUUCUCAACAUAGAGCAAAGUGGCAAAUGAUAAUGUUUGUUACAAUAAUUAACAGGGCAGUAGCUCAACCUAAAGAAAGGCAGCAGAACUUAUAUGAAAGAAACCGAGUUGUAAGUGUAUAAAGAGCGAUCAAUGAUUCAUUCCGGAGACAAACAUUAAUAUGGGGAUUAAGAGCAUGCCCACAGAAAGCUAAUUGGCAAACAAAACUUAUUGGUCAGUUCUCAACACAGAGCAAAGUGGCAAAUGAUAAUGUUUGUUACAAUAAUUAACAGGGCAGUAGCUCAACCUAAAGAAAGGCAGCAGAACUUAUAUGAAAGAAACCGAGUUGUAAGUGUAUAAAGAGCGAUCAAUGAUUCAUUCUGGAGACAUGGUAAUUUCUUCUAACAUAUUGUACUAUCAAGUAAACUCUCACAAGAAAGAUGCCCCAGUAAGUAAGCUGAAUGGGUGACAAACUGAAUAGUGAAACAAGUUGAUAGUUGUACACUAUAGUGUUUUACGCAUAGUCAAACUGAAUGAACUAGAUGAUACCCCGCGCGUUGCUGCAGGACACUUAGUUGACGUUAAGGAUUUUCUUAUAAAUGAAAGAAUGAAAUGCCAAACUGGUUUUGAGAAUUCGAGAACAACAAUGUGACAAAAGCGUAAGUAUGCAUUGGCAGUAGAGUAGGUUUUCUUAAACAAUGAAUAGAGUGUAUUGCAACCUACUGGAUUAACAAUGCUUUGGUCACUGAGAUAUUUUCUUAAUUAUCUAAUAGUGUGAACUAUAUUAUUUGACACUGCACUGUAUAGUAAUAGGUUAGAGAGGAUAAUAAAGGGGGGCGUUGAGGAAGCAAGUACAUAAGUACAUGAUAUUUAUACAUUUAUAAAGGUAAAAGCUAAAAAACAUGUACACCUUUUUUUCCUUCGAUAAACAGAGAGAUUUGCAAUUGUCAUAUGACAUAUGAGUGCUAGAUUGUCCGUUUUAUACAAUUUUGAUUUGAUAGUAGCCAGUCAAGUAAGCGUUUUUUUGGGUGUGAAUUGAUCAACAGAAGUUUGAAGCAAUGAAUGAUGGUGCAAAUAGCUGUAUUUAAUUGCAUACGCUAGCAGUAGGAGGCAACCUUAUAUGAAGAUAAAAAAGGGGGUUCUCUAAGGUAACUAACAUUAUGUGACAAAAAUGAAAAAGGGGUCACCCUUAGUGGAUGCCAG